GUUAACUUGGACGUGUAACUUGAUGCGUUUUGUUGUCUUGAUCAAGAUAAGCAUCCAAUCGGUACAAAGUUGGUAUUUCUUCGAGAUAUAGUAGUGUCAGCACGUUAGUCAAAUUGUAUGCAGAGGGUACCUUAACGUACUUCUCGACCCACCAAAUGUUUAACUUAUCAUUACAACUGUAACCUGCAGUCAACACAAAUCCCUUGAGAUAAACCUUCGUACCAUACUAUACAGCUUUUAAAUGUUGUAUCAUCGGAAAGACAAUAUUAAAUUAUCCGGACAUACUUUCACUUGUCACAUGAUCACAUGCCAGAUACCGUUCACGUUGCUUUCGACAGUUAGUCUUUCUUUUCGGCUACGUACAUUGAGAGAAGCUUGUAAACACGGCUCUAGUAUCUCUAUGUGGAUUGUUUGAUUUACAGUUCUAAGGGAGGCGUUUACUUUACCUGGAAUGGACUACUGUGUUCUUAAGAUGACAAGAUGUUUAACUCUCUACACUACUCUAGAUGUGCGACUGGUAAUCGGUUGUGGAUUAGCUUUUUUUUUUUCCUGUUGAAAUUAUUUGCUUUACUGAUGCAGUUCGAAUCUACAGGUAUCCUUUUCUUCAAAAUGCUAAAUUUUCUUUCCUUGCACGCUUUUAUAAUAGUGGAAUAGGUGAACUUCGCGUCGAAAUUUACCCCUUCCAGAAGCUGUGUUUGUUUGUUUAAUUUCACGCAAAGCUACUUGAGAGCUAUCUGUGCUAGCCGUCCCUCAUUUUGAAGUGAUAGAUUAAAGCAAAGGUAGCUAGUCACCAUCAUCCACCGUCAAGUCUUGGACUAUUUUUACUAAGGAAUAGUGGGAUUGACCGUCACAAUAUAACGCCCCCAAGGCCGAAAAUAUUCGGUAACGGGAUUUGGGCUCACAACCCACAGAUUGCAAGUCUAUUACCCUAACCAUCAAACCAACAACCAGGCCCUCGACAGAAGGAGUCAAUAUUAUUUAUUUAGGCAUCACUUGCACUUGAAAAUCCCCAUACUUCAACCAUAUGAGCUUUGGUUGAUUGACUGCUUGUUUGUUUGUUUUUUAGAGCAAAGCCACGUUGAGCUAUCUGCUGUGUCUACCACGGAGAAUCAAACCCGAUUUUAGCGUUGUACGCCGGUAGACUUACUGCUGUCUCACCGAAGAACACGAGCUUUGAAUUGGUGUUGCUAAAGGUGGACCACAGUGGCAUCUAUAUAUUAUUCUCUCGCUUCCUUUCUGUAAUUAUGCAGCCUUUCCACCUACCAUCUGGAGGGAGCCACAGAUUGAAAACCGCUGACUUAGUCUACGCAGUAAAAACUGUCGGUGUUAAGUUGUGGAUCUGUCAGAGAUUACUGAAUGAAUUAAACCAACAUUUUUCUUUAUGCUGAUAUCAAUUAUUUACUCGUGUAUGAAAUGGCAAAUAUAUUAUUAAAUCAGA